ACGUAGGAGGCGAGCGUUGUCCGGAAUCAUUGGGCGUAAAGAGCGCGCAGGCGGCUCGACAAGUCGGGUGUGAAAUCCCGGGGCUCAACCCCGGGACUGCAUCCGAUACUGUCGGGCUAGAGGUAGGUAGGGGAGAUCGGAAUUCCUGGUGUAGCGGUGAAACGCGCAGAUAUCAGGAGGAACACCGGUGGCGAAGGCGACGUCCUGGACCGGCAUUGACGCUGAGGCGCGAAAGCCAGGGGAGCAAACGGGA
rnacentral:rRNA from 1 species